GAGAGAGAGAGAGAGAGAGAGAGAGAGAGAGAUUCUUGAGUAGUGAAGAUGGCACAUAUCCUUGAAUGGGAUGUGUUGUAGGAUGUGUUUUGUUUUUCUUCCCCUUCAAGUCUGUUGUUACCCUCCUGCUCUUCAAGUCUUCUUCAAGAGCUAGGCCAGUGCAGCCAGUCUUCACCCCGUGGUCCUUAAAGUGCUACUACUCUGUGUGGGCCCCUCCACUGCCCGCCUGUGCAGUGGGCCCUGUGCUUGCUUGCUUGCUUGCUUGCUUACUCUCUGACACCGCUGUAGCUUGCCCUUAGGUCUGUGUUGCUCCCAUACCCUCAGCAGUUUUUGUUCUGCGCCUCUUCUAUUCAUGUCUCUUUAUUUACCUCAGCCUCCUGUCACAAGCUUCUCACACCACUUCUGGAAAGGUCUUUGGCUUCUCUGUUUCGGCCCUGACUGGGUGAAUGCUAGGACACUUUGGUCCCUUCUGGUUUUCCAACCUGGCCUUAUAGCUUUAUGACCUUUUCCAUUAAGGUUUGUAGCCCAGGGAAUCUUUGCUCUUAAUACAGGGCAUCUUGUUCUUUGAGCAGGAGAAGUUUGGAUUCUGAGUAACUUCUUGAUUCAUUGUCAUGACCUUUCUGGGCUUUCUUUGUAAGCACCUGAAGAGAGAGGAGAGGGUUGAGGGGAAGGAGGCAGGCAGACAGACACAUAGAUUGACUGACUGAGCCCAUCUUUGCACUUUGAGUCUUCUGUGUUGGGUGCUGGGACCAUAGCGUAAUUGUGCUGUUUGAUUUAACUCUUUCUGUGAAAUAGAUGUUGUUACUAUCUCUACAGAUAAGGAAAUUAAGUCAUGAGUAGUAGGUUAAGGAGCUUGCCCCGAGUUGCUUGGCUCUCCAGCGGAGGCCAGGUGAUGGCAGUGGGUCAUGUAUUCCCAAAGCCUGGCUCUUGUGCCUUUCUUGGGCCCUUUUUUGUGAUCUCAUGGUGCCACUCCUGGAAUGUGGCUCCUGAGAGAUCUCUGUGUAAGCACUGUUUCUUUCCAGUCCACACAACCUUUGAAGCUCUAUUUAUGAUCACAGCCCUAGCCUGUACCUCUGGACCCUCACAGAAGCCCAUGUCCUAACAAGCAGGAGUGAGCCUGCGAUGUUGCCUGUAAGCUGGAUUUAAAUGUCAGCCUCUGGCUUGCUCUGAGCAGGAAGACUGUCUGGGGGAGGUGACUGCUGUUACUCAGUAUUUACCACAGACCUUGAAUCUGUCUGAUGUACAGCAGUAGGCCCGGAAGGCCUUAGGUACCACAACCUUGGGGACCCUCAGAGUCCAGUUGCUCAGAGCAAAUACUUGCGACCCGCUGCCUGCUUUCUGCAGAUGGUUAUGCUUCUGUCCUGAUGCCCGAGCAUGCUGUGUGGCGCUGGCUGUGCCCAGACUUCAGGCUCUUGUAAUACUGAGCCAUUUAACUUGUAACAGAAGUGUGGCUAAGUGUGAACCUGGACUGUCACCUAGGAACAAGUGUGAACAUGUCAUUGGCCCUGUGGUAUGUGUAAACCAAGGUGGGGAAGGAGACCCUCUGAAUCCUGUGUUUCUUUCUCAGAAGCAAGAGGGCACUCACCUCAUUAGCAUUCUGCAUCUCAGCAUUUGGCCCAGCAGUCUCAGGGCUCACCCCUGCCCAGCGUAAUUACACGGAUGAUGUCGGUGAUGUGGCUGUGAAGACACUUCUCCCUGACCUGGGUGGAAUGGCCUCCUGUGACUUAGACUUGAAGGCUUUACAAGGACCUGUGGCUACUGGAUGAUUAGCCUCUACAAGAUUUUAUUCUUGAGCAUUUCAGACGCACCGAGAAUGGAAAGAACUCACAGUGAUUGCUUUCAUAUGCACUGUGUGGGCAUUGUGGGCAGCACUGAGCUGACCCCGUUUCCCCCAUAUCCUCCCCCAGUUGGUGUAGUUUUGGAUUUUAAACUCAACUGUUACAUUCACAGUGUCUCCUCUCUUGUCUACCUUUUUAUUAACUUGUAAAAAAAAAUUGUAUGUUUG
rnacentral:lncRNA from 1 species